rnacentral:rRNA from 1 species
AAGGCAGCCUGCUGGACUGUAACUGACGCUGAGGCUCGAAAGUGUGGGUAUCAAACAGGAUUAGAUACCCUGGUAGUCCACACGGUAAACGAUGAAUACUCGCUGUUUGCGAUAUACUGCAAGCGGCCAAGCGAAAGCGUUAAGUAUUCCACCUGGGGAGUACGCCGGCAACGGUGAAACUCAAAGGAAUUGACGGGGGCCCGCACAAGCGGAGGAACAUGUGGUUUAAUUCGAUGAUACGCGAGGAACCUUACCCGGGCUUGAACUGUAGGCGAACGAUUCAGAGAUGAUGAGGCCCUUCGGGGCGCCUAUGGAGGUGCUGCAUGGUUGUCGUCAGCUCGUGCCGUGAGGUGUCGGCUUAAGUGCCAUAACGAGCGCAACCCUUCUCCCUGUUUGCCAUCGGGUCAUGCCGGGCACUCCAGGGACACUGCCAUCGUAAGAUGUGAGGAAGGUGGGGAUGACGUCAAAUCAGCACGGCCCUUACGUCCGGGGCUACACACGUGUUACAAUGGGGCGCACAGAGGGAAGGGGCUGCGCAAGCAGUCUCGGAUCGAGAAACCGCCCCUCAGUUCGGACUGGGGUCUGCAACCCGACCCCACGAAGCUGGAUUCGCUAGUAAUCGCGCAUCAGCCAUGGCGCGGUGAAUACGUUCCCGGGCCUUGUACACACCGCCCGUCAAGCCAUGAAAGCCGGGGGUACCUGAAGUACGUAACCGCAAGGAGCGUCCUAGGGUAAAACUGGUGAUUGGGGCUAAGUCGUAACAAGGUAGCCGUACCGGAAGGUG